rnacentral:lncRNA from 1 species
UAAGUUGUGAGUUGGAUAAAUUGCAGUCUGGCAUGAUAUUGGUGUUCCCAGUUGGUCAGUCCAACGACAUUGGUCACUGCAGCAAACACAAUUGUGUCCCUGCAAAGAUCAAACCAAAUCACGACAGUUAAUAUCCCAUUGAAGAACACAGGAGAAUCACUUGUGAAGAACACAACAGAAUCUAAGAAUAAGAGGUUGGUGCUUUAUGACACCUUAGUUCAGCAGUGCAAAAGUGAUGAGGAAAUUGUUUGUUGUCGCCCGUGAGCUUGGAUGCUAGAAACUUCACCAUAUUGUGAUCACACCGCAAAACCA